rnacentral:rRNA from 1 species
GUUGAACGCUGGCGGCAUGCCUUACACAUGCAAGUCGAACGGCAGCACGGGGGCAACCCUGGUGGCGAGUGGCGAACGGGUGAGUAAUACAUCGGAACGUGUCCUGUCGUGGGGGAUAACCAGUCGAAAGACUGGCUAAUACCGCAUGAGAUCGAGAGAUGAAAGCAGGGGACCCGGGGGCAACCUCGGGCCUUGCGCGAUUGGAGCGGCCGAUGUCGGAUUAGCUUGNGGCGGGGUAAAGCCCACCAAGGCGACGAUCCGUAGCUGGUUUGAGAGAACGACCAGCCACACUGGGACUGAGACACGGCCCAGACUCCUACGGGAGGCAGCAGUGGGGAAUUUUGGACAAUGGGGGCAACCCUGAUCCAGCCAUGCCGCGUGUGUG